rnacentral:lncRNA from 1 species
GCCUGUCGGCGAAACGCGCCCCUCACAGAAACGGGACGGCUGUUUUGCUUUGUUGACCUAUCUCCAUGAAAGCAGUGGGCAAUGGAAAGAAUCAGUGGCAGGGGUGAUGUUUCGCUGUAAGCGCAUGUAACUAACUCGAAUUCUCGGUUUGUAAGGGGCUGACGAAGCAGUCAGAAGACGCUGGGGAACGACAAAUUUUGUUUCCCUCAGUAAUCGUCGACCAUCCACAGCGGUGGGACGGGGCAUGUCCGCAUCUGGAGAAGCGAUGGCAUAUUUGUCCGAAUCGGCCAGCGACGGCAGUAAUGCGUGUAACGUUGUAACCGAAUAGUGGCUUCAAUGCGAGGGACCGUUUGUAGCGUCACACGCAAGAUAUCUGGGAUAGAAGGGAAGCUGGAUUCUGCCCGAAAGACGAACGAAACGGAUGGUCAGGGGUCCGGACGUGCACGGCAAUACUGACCCUUUUUCUGGCGCAGCACUCUACAGUCUCACACACAGUGGAUGAAAACCGGCUACCGAUAGCGGAAUAAUGUUGUGGGGUCAGACUCAACUGUCGUGGCCAUUAGCCCGUUUUCACGUAGAAAGCUGUUUUAUUUAGAAGCGGAGACCCAACAACAGUAUAAUCUAGCACGUUCACGCGAUUUGUGCUCUCGAGUUUGACCAACUUCGAUGCCCACGUAUGCUCCCGCCCGAUACAGUGCAAGUCGACGAGGUCGUCUCCGCACUAUCGCGAAGACGCACAUUCCAACGUGGUACGGCUGAUACGUUUUGUACGAAGUGUGCGUGCUCCAACUCCCGAUGCUGCGUUAAAUCCAAACGAACGCGUAUUUUAGAUCACUGGUUUGUGUAUACCAGUGUCGCUUCUGAUGUUCCGGAAGUGUUGAACAUGACGAGACACGGCGUCGUGGUUAUGUGCUCUGAUCAAAAAUAUAGUGCGAAGUGGCCCGUUAGGUGCUCGUUCACUCAGUGGUAG